UUCGUUUUCUCUUGCUGCUGCUGGGAAUCCUUCCUGUAUCAUAUGACAAAAGCCUAGGCUUGCCUCCUUGCAGGAACGAGAUGCAAUGGAGAGAAGGGUCCAGCUGUCCGAGUGGAUUCAAAUGAGGUCUCAGACACAGCGAGUUCAGCUAUCACUGUGUAGGGCUGAAAUGAGUUCCCAGUUGAGGUCAGCCCAAGUGGUCAACUUACAGGACACUGAAUAGAAACCAAUGAACUAAGCAAAAUGCAGAUGAAGUCUCUCCUUUUACCUGCUGUUCCUUCAAACAGAAAACAAAACACAGCCAACCAAAACAACUGUUCUGGCAGGAAAAAGAAAUUUCCUCAAUAUUUAUAUUCUCCAAUGAAAUCGGUAAGGAAGGAAGGUAAAGGCUGAAAAUACCCUUCAUAGCACCACAGAAAAGAGCCAGGCCCUCCCUGGUGGUGCAGCGGGUUAAAGCACAGCACUGA